GACGACGCUGGCGGCGUGCCUAAUACAUGCAAGUCGAGCGGGGAUUAUGCUUGAUCGCUUCGGUGAGACGGCAUAUAUCCUAGCGGCGGACGGGUGAGUAACGCGUGGGUAAUCUACCUCGUAGUUCGGGAUAACAGGCCGAAAGGCUUGCUAAUACCGGAUGAGUUCAUGCUUAUGCAUAUAGGCAUGAAGAAAGGGCUAGCCCGCUAUGAGAUGAGCCCGCGUCCCAUUAGCUUGUUGGUGGGGUAAUGGCCUACCAAGGCAACGAUGGGUAGCCGGCCUGAGAGGGUGUACGGCCACACUGGGACUGAGACACGGCCCAGACUCCGUACGGGGGGCAGCAGUAGGGAAUUUUCGGCAAUGGGCGAAAGCCUGACCGAGCGACGCCGCGUGAGGGACGAAGGCCUUCGGGUUGUAAACCUCUGUCUGGGGGGAUGAGAACGGACGGUACCCCCGGAGGAAGCCCCGGCUAACUACGUG
rnacentral:rRNA from 1 species